rnacentral:rRNA from 1 species
GACGAACGCUGGCGGCGUGCUUAACACAUGCAAGUCGAACGGUAAGGCCCUUCGGGGUACACGAGUGGCGAACGGGUGAGUAACACGUGGGUGAUCUGCCCUGCACUUCGGGAUAAGCCUGGGAAACUGGGUCUAAUACCGGAUAGGACCCUGGGAUGCAUGUCCUGGGGUGGAAAGCUUUUGCGGUGUGGGAUGGGCCCGCGGCCUAUCAGCUUGUUGGUGGGGGGAUGGCCUACCAAGGCGACGACGGGUAGCCGGCCUGAGAGGGUGACCGGCCACACUGGGAGUGAGAUCCGGCCCAGACUCCUACGGGAGGCAGCAGUGGGGAAUAUUGCACGAUGGGCGCAAGCCUGAUGCAGCGACGCCGCGUGAGGGAUGACGGCCUUGGGGUUGUAAACCUCUCUCAGCACCGACGAAGCGCAAGUGACGGUAGGUGCAGAAGAAGGACCGGCCAACUACGUGCCAGCAGCCGCCGUAA